UACGUAGGGGGGCAAGCGUUGUCCGGAUUCAUUGGGCGUAAAGAGCGUGUAGGCGGCCAGGUAGGUCGGUUGUGAAAACUGGAGGCUCAACCUUCAGAGGUCGACCGAAAACCAUCUGGCUAGAGUCCGGGAGAGGAGAGUGGAAUUCCCGUGGUGUAGCGGUGAAAUGCGCAGAUAUCAGGAAGAACACCCGGUGGCGGAAAGCGGCUCUCUGGAACGGUACUGACGCUGAGGAGCGAAAGCGUGGGGAGCAAACAGG
rnacentral:rRNA from 1 species